UCUAAACUUGAUCGAAUGAAGGUGACAAAGUUGUGCUGUCCUGGGAUUCUGAAUAAAGUGUUGAGGAACUCCAUCCUGGACUACUAGAUGAGAAAGAAAUACCUUUAGGUCCUGACCUUUUGGAGUUUAUCAUUAUCAUCGAUCAUGCUCCACUAUCUAAAGUACAGAGUCUAACAGCUUUCAUGGUUCUGGAGUUUGCUCAACAAAUGCUCCCCUACAGAAGCAGGCUUCCGGAGUGGUCAGAACUAUAAAAACACAUCCCUGUCCAUUUGACUUCUGCAGAGCCCAGCCAGGGCGAAUCUGAGCACCGCAGGAAGGUUUAUGCAGUGUCCCAAAGCAAUGAAGAGUAAGGAGGUACCAGUUCAUGCUGCUGGUGAAAUCUGCAGUGCCCAGUUCAUUCCUAAUGGGGAAGUUCCCUGUCCCAGGCUCAACCAAAGAAACUCUUUCCCUGUUAAUUUCUGAUAGAAUUAAAGGACAGCUGCAUUAUCAAAGGAGGAGGACUCGUGUUCAGGGUUGGGGUGCACUUUCAACAAUUCUAACAGCAGAAAAAACCAGUCUCAUUAAUGGCUACGUUGUGCACACAUGGAGAUAAUGUAUUUAAGUCUAAUUCCAUGCAGAUGAAGUAUGUUCUAUUCUAGAAUAUCUUUGCCCAGUGGUUACCCAUUUAUGUAUGUGAUAACUCCUAACAACUAGAUUGAAUUGUAAAUUCCAUGAGGACAAGAGGAUAUUUGUUUGUAACUCAGCAUUGAAUCGGCAUCAGCUGAGAAGAUAAUGAGAUUCAUUAUAACGCCCAUUCUCGUUGACUUUUUAUCUACUUUUGAAGACCUACAAUGUCUCCAAUGUUUUGGUUUUGUCGGUUUUGCUCUUUACUAUUUUGUUCAAUUGUAUUAUAACUAAUGAUAUAGGCAAUUCUAUUAGAGAUAGCGGGAGGCAUUAUGGUAACCUUUGAUGAUCACCUUGUAUUAUGUUUUUAUAUUAUCUAUUAUGUCCACCCUUUUGACUUGACUGAUUCUGUCCUGUUAUGUCUCAUUUGGUUUUACUCUCUUCCAAAAAAGCAGUAAGAACCGUGGGAGCAAUGAAACCCAAAAUGUGUAAUAGUCAUUGUACAAAAGAGAGGAAAAGAAAGUGCUCUAAACUAUAUAACUGCAUGUAUAUUUAAGUGUAUAAGAUAGAAAACGAUAUCACAGAGUUUUAUUGGAUCAUUGAACAGAACUGAUUGCAGUAUCAUUGUUGGAAUGUCCACUCUACAAGCUUUAAUUUUGUGACUUGAACAAUUAUUUUUAAGAUGGCAAUAUGUAAUCCAUUAACUAGUGAUUUCCUACUGUUCAUUUUUUUCUUCUGUAAAUCUGUAUAACUUGUACCCUUUCACUUUUUUUUCUUUUCUCCUUAAAUUAAA